rnacentral:rRNA from 1 species
GAUGAACGCUAGCGGCAGGCCUAACACAUGCAAGUCGAGGGAGAAGCCCUUUGGGGCAGAAACCGGCGCACGGGUGCGUAACGCGUAUGCAACCUACCUUUCACAGGGGGAUAGCCCGAAGAAAUUUGGAUUAAUACCCCAUAAUAUUAUUGGGUGGCAUCAUCUGAUAAUUAAAAUUACGAUGGUGGAAGAUGGGCAUGCGUCCUAUUAGCUAGUUGGAGUGGUAACGGCGCCCCAAGGCUACGAUAGGUAGGGGUCCUGAGAGGGAGAUCCCCCACACUGGUACUGAGACAGGGACCAGACCCCUUACGGGAGGCAGCAGUGAGGAAUAUUGGUCAAUGGUCGGAAGACUGAACCAGCCAUGCCGCGUGCAGGAAGAAUGCCUUAUGGGUUGUAAACUGCCUUUUACUAUGGGAAGA